AUUUUCUCCAUUUUGAUCCAAAUCUUUCACUCUCUUCUAACACACACAUUGUCAUUAAGAGGUGAAUAGAAGAUGUGUCUUGGCACUUCCAAAGAAAACCUCUAUCAUCCUUCAUAUCUCACUGCUCACCAAUCAAGCCAUGAGUUUCACCAUCUACAAAGGAAAAGAUAUAUGGGUUUGAAAAAUUCAAGAAACAAAACAAGGGUUUUGUUUGUGAUAUUGAAAAGGAAGAUGGCAAUGAAGAACUUGAAGUUGUACAUGCAAAACCAAUGCAUGAUUGAAGAGAAUGCAAAACUUAGAAGAAAAGCCCUUCUGCUUCAUCAAGAAAACCAAAUCUUAUUUUCUCAACUCCAAAAUGUCAAAAAAUGAUAAGUAAAAACAACAUAGUUUCACCAAGAAUGUCAUAGCCUUGUGAAAUAUUUGUUUUGUAUUAUCAGAAUUUAUGUUUCACUCUUUUCAUGAAUGAAUAUUUAUAAAAGCUCAUGAACUAUCAAGGUGUUUAACAAUAAGGAGAUGUGAGCAUUGGUUAGAAUACUCUAUGCGGACCAAAUAUGAUGUAAUAUCAAAAUGGUAAAUUUGGUGCUUGUUCUUUAAGGUCUAGCUUCUUGCUAGUCCAUUUUCC